rnacentral:rRNA from 1 species
CACUGGGAUUAAACACGGCCCAGACUCCUACGGGAGGCAGCAGUAGGGAAUCUUCCGCAAGGACGAAAGUCUGACGGAGCAACGCCGCGUGAGUGAUGAAGGUUUUCGGAUCGUAAAGCUCUGUUGUUAGGGAAGAACAAGUGCGAGAGUAACUGCUCGCACCUUGACGGUACCUAACCAGAAAGCCACGGCUAACUACGUGCCAGCAGCCGCGGUAAUACGUAGGUGGCAAGCGUUGUCCGGAAUUAUUGGGCGUAAAGGGCUCGCAGGCGGUUUCUUAAGUCUGAUGUGAAAGCCCCCGGCUCAACCGGGGAGGGUCAUUGGAAACUGGGAAACUUGAGUGCAGAAGAGGAGAGUGGAAUUCCACGUGUAGCGGUGAAAUGCGUAGAGAUGUGGAGGAACACCAGUGGCGAAGGCGACUCUCUGGUCUGUAACUGACGCUGAGGAGCGAAAGCGUGGGGAGCGAACAGGAUUAGAUACCCUGGUAGUCCACGCCGUAAACGAUGAGUGCUAAGUGUUAGGGGGUUUCCGCCCCUUAGUGCUGCAGCUAACGCAUUAAGCACUCCGCCUGGGGAGUACGGUCGCAAGACUGAAACUCAAAGGAAUUGACGGGGGCCCGCACAAGCGGUGGAGCAUGUGGUUUAAUUCGAAGCAACGCGAAGAACCUUACCAGGUCUUGACAUCCUCUGACAACCCUAGAGAUAGGGCUUUCCCUUCGGGGACAGAGUGACAGGUGGUGCAUGGUUGUCGUCAGCUCGUGUCGUGAGAUGUUGGGUUAAGUCCCGCAACGAGCGCAACCCUUGAUCUUAGUUGCCAGCAUUCAGUUGGGCACUCUAAGGUGACUGCCGGUGACAAACCGGAGGAAGGUGGGGAUGACGUCAAAUCAUCAUGCCCCUUAUGACCUGGGCUACACACGUGCUACAAUGGACAGAACAAAGGGCUGCAAGACCGCAAGGUUUAGCCAAUCCCAUAAAUCUGUUCUCAGUUCGGAUCGCAGUCUGCAACUCGACUGCGUGAAGCUGGAAUCGCUAGUAAUCGCGGAUCAGCAUGCCGCGGUGAAUACGUUCCCGGGCCUUGUACACACCGCCCGUCACACCACGAGAGUUUGCAACACCCGAAGUCGGUGAGGUAACCUUUAUGGAGC